UUGCAGAAACCGACACAGUCAAUCAGUCAGGAGAGGCACACCCGAUGAGUGACUUUAGAAAACCGUCAUGGGAAACCGUCAAGAAUACAAAUUCAGUGCCAGGUGGACCAAAGUCAUGGGCACAGCUGAAUGGAAAGCCAGUAGGACACGAAGG
rnacentral:sRNA from 1 species